rfam:Lachnoclostridium sp. An131 An131_contig_12, whole genome shotgun sequence.
UGCAAAAUAGGUUUUCAUGCGUCAAGUGUUCGGUGGAUGGGGAGUUGCCGCCGAAACGAAAAGCUAAGUCUUACGAUAUGGAGACCGCACCCGUUGCA